rnacentral:lncRNA from 1 species
GCCUCUAGGUCAAGCUAUUAAGGGCUACCGUCUAAUCUAUCUUAUAAGCUGAAAAGACUCGAGCUUCCAUUAUUCUCUACUCCCACAAUUUCGUAUGGUUCUGUUCUGAUUGGGAGGAAGGUCAUGGCCUCUAGGUCAAGCUAUUAAGGGCUACCGUCUAAUCUAUCUUAUAAGCUGAAAAGACUCGAGCUUCCAUUAUUCUCUACUCCCACAAUUUCGUAUGGUUCUGUUCUGAUUGGGAGGAAGGUCAUGGCCUCUAGGUCAAGCUAUUAAGGGCUACCGUCUAAUCUAUCUUAUAAGCUGAAAAGACUCGAGCUUCCAUUAUUCUCUACUCCCACAAUUUCGUCUGGUUCUGUUCUGAUUGGGAGGAAGGUCAAACAGUAUUUCUGAUUUUUUUUUUCGAGCAAAAAAACACGUAAUUUGUAUCACACUGCUGAUAUUGGCAGGUUAUCCACUGCUGAUCAAUUCUGGAGUGUAGCAGAACUGAACUCACACAUGUCUUUGCAUUAUCUGACACAGUCCAUCGUCGGAAUUUGGCAUGAAUCUAAUCCAUUUCAGCAAUGGAACAGUCUCAUAGAGCGAUUCUUUUCAUCGAGGAAGAUAGGGAUGCUGUGAUUCAUAAAUUGUUGCUUUUGGAAGUUCUUUCAAGGGUUGGUUCGUGUCAAAAUGAUCCAAGACAGGCCUAAUUCAAUAGUGUUUUAGCAGGAAAAACAUUGUGCAAUAUUGUCUCCAGAGUACUUUUACAUCAAAUUAGGGUACUGAAACCUAUUCCAAUGCUUAAACAAUGCCGAGACAACUUGAAUUCAAGUCCCUAAUUUUUUCACAUCAUGCAUGC